rfam:Bacteroides sp. CAG:702 genomic scaffold, scf313
GCACUCUUAGCUCAGUUGGUAGAGCAACUGACUCUUAAUCAGUGG